AUUGAACGCUGGCGGCAUGCCUUACACAUGCAAGUCGAACGGCAGCAUGGAGAGCUUGCUCUCUGAUGGCGAGUGGCGAACGGGUGAGUAAUGCAUCGGAACGUACCGUGUAAUGGGGGAUAACGUAGCGAAAGUUACGCUAAUACCGCAUACGACCUGAGGGUGAAAGCAGGGGAUCGCAAGACCUUGCGCUAUACGAGCGGCCGAUGUCAGAUUAGCUAGUUGGUGAGGUAAAGGCUCACCAAGGCGACGAUCUGUAGCGGGUCUGAGAGGAUGAUCCGCCACACUGGGACUGAGUCACGGCCCAGACUCCUACGGGAGGCAGCAGUGGGGAAUUUUGGACAAUGGGGGCAACCCUGAUCCAGCCAUGCCGCGUGAGAGAAGAAGGCCUUCGGGUUGUAAAGCUCUUUCGGCCGGGAAGAAAUCGCACAGGCUAAUACUCUGUGUGGAUGACGGUACCGGCAUAAGAAGCACCGGCUAACUACGUGCCAGCCGCCGCAGUAA
rnacentral:rRNA from 1 species